UGGUCACAGGUCAAAGCGCAUUGAGUGAAAAGAAAUGUUGUCUUGACCUGUCACUGCA
rnacentral:pre_miRNA from 1 species